CACGUAGGGCGCAAGCGUUGUCCGGAAUUAUUGGGCGUAAAGAGCUCGUAGGCGGUUUGUCGCGUCGAAUGUGAAAACCCGGGGCUCAACCCCGGGCCUGCAUUCGAUACGGGCAGACUAGAGUUCGGUAGGGGAGUCUGGAAUUCCUGGUGUAGCGGUGAAAUGCGCAGAUAUCAGGAGGAACACCGGUGGCGAAGGCGGGACUCUGGGCCGAUACUGACGCUGAGGAGCGAAAGCGUGGGGAGCAAACAGG
rnacentral:rRNA from 1 species